GCUCAGUUCCUAAGGGUAAAGAGGGCUCCGCGCAUGCAGGAAGACCACCCUAAGGGAAGAAUCAUGGGAAAGAGGCAGAAAAUUAAAACUGGAUUGCUACCUGGUGCUUCCAUACACUGAAGAGAAAGAACACUCCAAUCUGCCAGCCUUACGAUGUUGGGAAAACGCAUCAAACAGUGCUAAGGUUUUAAGCACGGAGAAUAUAAUCCAGUUGUAAAGCUAUUAACCCAGAGAAGAUGUCACAUGAAAGUCUGUAAAUAUGAACCACACUCUACUGCCCAGUGAUGGAGAAACCUACUGACUGUGGUGUGCAGAUUCCUAAGACGCCCUCAUGGUAUCCAUGUCCGCAUCAUCUCCUCCCCCUUGAGAGUGGGCUGAACCUGUGACUGGCCUCUAACCAACAGGCUAUGGUGAAGGUAAGGCAUUUUGCAGAUGUAAAGUCCCUAAGAAGUUAACUGAAUUAAUGACAAGGCAGAUUAUUCUGGGUGGGCCUGACCUAAUUAGGUGAGUACUUUAAAAGAGAGCCUGGAGGAGAAAGACCCUUCCUGCUGUCUUUGAAGCAGCAAGCCCCCAUCAGUUCUGCAGCCACAAGAAAAUGAGUUCUGCCAACAACCAAGUGAGCACUGAAGAGGACCCUGAGCAUCAGAGGACAGCCCAGCCCUGGCCAAUGCCUUCAUUGCAGCACUGUGAGACCCAAACAAAAGAUCCAGCUAAUGCAUGUUCAGAAUUCUGAUUCCAGGAAACUGUGGAAUAAUAAAUGCUCCUAUGUUAAGCUGCUAAGU